UACGGAGGGAGCUAGCGUUGUUCGGAAUUACUGGGCGUAAAGCGCGCGUAGGCGGCUUUGUAAGUUAGAGGUGAAAGCCCGGGGCUCAACCCCGGAACUGCCUUUAAGACUGCAUCGCUGGAAUCCGGGAGAGGUGAGUGGAAUUCCAAGUGUAGAGGUGAAAUUCGUAGAUAUUCGGAAGAACACCAGUGGCGAAGGCGGCUCACUGGACCGGUAUUGACGCUGAUGUGCGAAAGCGUGGGGAGCAAACAGG
rnacentral:rRNA from 1 species